rnacentral:rRNA from 1 species
UACGAAGGGGGCUAGCGUUGCUCGGAAUCACUGGGCGUAAAGGGUGCGUAGGCGGGUCUUUAAGUCAGGGGUGAAAUCCUGGAGCUCAACUCCAGAACUGCCUUUGAUACUGAAGAUCUUGAGUUCGGGAGAGGUGAGUGGAACUGCGAGUGUAGAGGUGAAAUUCGUAGAUAUUCGCAAGAACACCAGUGGCGAAGGCGGCUCGCUGGACCGGUUCUGACGCUGAGGCGCGAAAGCGUGGGGAGCAAACGGG